GUGAGUAACCUGCCCUUGACUCUGGGAUAAGCCCGGGAAACUGGGUCUAAUACCGGAUAGGAGCGCCUGUCGCAUGACGGGUGCUGGAAAGAUGUUUCGGUCAUGGAUGGACUCGCGGCCUAUCAGCUUGUUGGUGAGGUAACGGCUCACCAAGGCGACGACGGGUAGCCGGCCUGAGAGGGUGACCGGCCACACUGGGACUGAGACACGGCCCAGACUCCUACGGGAGGCAGCAGUGGGGAAUAUUGCACAAUGGGCGAAAGCCUGAUGCAGCGACGCCGCGUGAGGGAUGACGGCCUUCGGGUUGUAAACCUCUUUCAGCAGGGAAGAAGCGAAAGUGACGGUACCUGCAGAAGAAGCACCGGCUAACUACGUGCCAGCAGCCGCGGUAAUACGUAGGGUGCGAGCGUUAUCCGGAAUUAUUGGGCGUAAAGAGCUCGUAGGCGGUUUGUCACGUCUGUCGUGAAAGUCCGGGGCUUAACCCCGGAUCUGCGGUGGGUACGGGCAGACUAGAGUGCAGUAGGGGAGACUGGAAUUCCUGGUGUAGCGGUGGAAUGCGCAGAUAUCAGGAGGAACACCGAUGGCGAAGGCAGGUCUCUGGGCUGUAACUGACGCUGAGGAGCG
rnacentral:rRNA from 1 species